rnacentral:lncRNA from 1 species
AGGAGGUGGGGAGGGGCUACUGCUUCAGGGGGAAGGGACUAUGGCAAUACAAAAAAACACUCCAACCAGAAAAUCAGCAAGUCUCAGACCUUAAGAUCUGCAAGUGUCUCAGAGCUGGGGCAGAAAAGGACUUUACUUUUAUAGGGAGAAGUCAGCAAGGCUGAAAGGAACCUAUGGCUAGCAGGCAGUUACAAGAUUGAGCCAGGUGCCCAGGCUAAGGCUUCUAGAGACAGGGAGACAGCACACUAAAUCCCUUGAGGUUUGUUUUAGAGAUGGCUCCAAGGCCCUUAAAAAAAAAAUUCUUGGGUUGUAAAAUUGGCAGGAGGUUAAUUUCACUUUUAAAAAGAUUUACCUACAUCCCCAUCUGCACAAAGAGCUUGCUAACUCACUAACCCAAACUUGAGUUAAGCUUCCCUCCUCCCCACCAGACCCUGGACUUUGGGCCACCCUCAGCCUGAGCCAGCAAACAGCCCCUCCCCUGGGGGGGAAAAAAAAAAAAAAAAAAAAGGCUGGGCACAAAGUCAUUCCCUGAACGUGGUUCUUUCUAGCCAUGUUUACUUCUUCCAAUAAAAGAAAAGGGCUUUUCUGCCUGGGCUUUGAGAUGCUUGCAGAUCUUGCCGUCGGUCGGUCUGAGCCUUUUCACUGUUCCCAUAAGGCCCCUUCCUCUCCAUUUUGCCAUAUUCCCUUUCCCCUUCUGCAAUAUUCCCUUUUCCCUUCUGCAGUCAUGCUUUGGAAUAAGGUCUCUCCUUCCCUAAGUCCAGAUUUAUUUGUAUUUGACACCUCAAAACAGCGUACUGGGCACUGGAAAGAAAAGGGGAUGCAUAACGGCCAGUCUUCCUCCUGAGCAGCCUCCCUGAACAGAGCCAGGAGUGAAGCAUCAGUAGAACUGGUUGCCGAAAGUCUAUCAAUUCCAAAACAUUCCACCAUCUUCCAGUUCACAGUACAGCUUUAUGGGAUGGAGGUGAUAUGAAAAUAAUAAAACAAAACAAAAAGCAAGAAAACAACAACCCAGGUCUCUUUCUGGUGUGGUUCCAGGGAGGGUGGACUGCAGGUUCAGACGGCUCAUGCAGUCACUAUGGCUGUGGCACUGCCACUUCAGAGCUAUCUACCUCCUGAUGUGAGGGAGAAAGGCUGGAGAAGCCACAGGAACCUCUGCGAGGCAUGGGGUUGGGUUUUGAGGAUGUUGCUUGUUUGUUUUGCAGAGGGGUGAAAGGGGAUGUUUUCACCUUUACUUUCCAGGAACCAAGCCUUGAGGAAGAGGGUGGCACAUUUAAAUAAAAGGUUGGGCCACAGGAAAGGUGGGGAAUGGAUCUCCACAGCAAGGGUGACCCACGGCAAGGACAUGGGGAACCUGUAUCACAGCCACCCUGAGGGAAGAGAAACUCAUUUUCCUGAGAUCUUUCUAAACCCAACCCAGGCUUUUCCCCCAGGGGUAUAUCCCGUAUUUUCCACUUAUUUCCAAACUCAAGAACAUCCAAGAAGCACCUAUUGUGUGCAGAGAACUAUAAGGAGGCCCUGGGGUGGUGAAUCAGAAGCUCAGCCUCAGCCUUGCAGUGAGGUUUUCAAGAGCAAACAAUUGCUCAUGGCAGGACGGGAGGAGGCCCCAGGAAAGCCUCAGAGGAGUGAGAUCAGGCCAGCUCCUGUCCGGAGAGCCACCCAGCACCUUUGUGGGGUGGGAGUCAAUCUCCCAGAAAACAUCUCCAGGUGCUUUGCAAAAACCGUCCUGUCUAGCAAAGCACCACAUGGCCCUCCUUCCCUGCUGCAGGGAAGACAGCAGCCACCGCAGACCCCCUCACCUGCUCAGAGCUCUCUUUCUGUGAGGGUCAGGUAAGGGCAGUGACCAGAGAGAGAACAAAAGGAACCGAAUGACAAAAAGCUGGGUUGAGGAAGAGGCUCCCAGCUCUGACUGUUCCAGCACAGCUGUUGCUGGCUGCCUUCUCCAGUGAUCUCGGGCAGCUCCCAGAAAUGGGUCUGUUCUCUGCUCAGAGGGCAACAGUCCAGCCCGAAGUCAAUGACCAGCCACUAGGGCAGGCUGGCUCCCUCGUGUGUACUUUGUAAACAGCUGGGCUCCCUAAGGGGGGACCUCAUCUAGAUUUAGCUCAGAGAGUAAGGAGGAAGACCCCCACCCUGCUGAGGUCACAAAACACAAUGAAAAAUAAACAUAUGACCCCAAUGGCCAUGCCCCGAGUCUACUAUGGUCACACUCCUGAGAGCCAAUGAGGGAAAUCCAGUGGCCGACUGUGAGAGGACUCUGACUUGUAGGUCACAAGCACCUGGUCACCCGAAGGUCAGGACUGCUGAAGGUUUGCUCACCAAAGCACCACACAUUAGAGGGAGAAUGAGAAGGGAAGGAAGAGAGAAAAGCAUGGGGCACCAGGAAAGUGCGGCAGAGAAAACAAAGAGCAACUAAAAAUUAUCCAGAGUCAGGAGUCGCAACCUUUGGCAUCACGGCUCAGAGGAAGCCCAAGCCCGGUGCUCCUCCUGCUGUCUACA